rnacentral:ncRNA from 2 species
CUGCGGGAGAGACUGAAUCCCUUGCGAUCAGCGCCGAAGGAGCAACUGCCCCGGAAACUCUCAGGCAAAAGGACCGCUGA